rnacentral:tRNA from 1 species
UGANAUAUAUAUAUAUAUAUAUAUAUAUAUAUAUAGUUAAAUUAAUAUUAAUUUGUCAAGUUAAAGAUAAGGAAUUCCACAA